rnacentral:rRNA from 1 species
UACGUAGGGGGCAAGCGUUGUCCGGAUUUAUUGGGCGUAAAGCGCUCGCAGGUGGGUUCGAUGCGUCGUGCGUGAAAGACCCCGGACUCAACUGGGGAGGGUCGUGCGAUACGGUCGAACUGGAGGCCAGUAGGGGGAUGCGGAAUUCCGGGUGUAGUGGUGGAAUGCGUAGAGAUCCGGAGGAACACCAGCGGCGAAGGCGGCAUCCUGGACUGGUCCUGACACUCAUGAGCGAAAGCGUGGGGAGCGAUCCGG